AUCAUACUCGCCCACAUCUCCAAGUUACAGCCCAACAUCUCCUAGCUACAGUCCUACAUCACCAAGCUACAGCCCUACAUCUCCUAGCUAUAGUCCUACAUCACCAAGCUACAGCCCCACCUCGCCGGUUUAUAGUCCAACCUCGCCGGCAUAUAGCCCUACCUCUCCUGCAUACAGCCCCACAUCCCCCUCUUAUAGCCCAACAUCCCCGUCUUACAGCCCUACGUCGCCUUCAUACAGCCCUACAUCUCCUUCAUACAGCCCUACAUCCCCAUCAUACAGUCCUACCUCCCCCUCGUACAGCCCAACAUCACCUGCAUACAGCCCUACCUCGCCUGGAUACAGCCCAACAUCACCAAGUUACAGCCCGACAUCUCCAAGCUACAGUCCUACUUCUCCGAGCUACAAUCCUUCAUCAGCCAAAUACAGCCCUUCGCAUGCUUACUCUCCAAGCAGUCCAAGGAUGACUCC
rnacentral:lncRNA from 1 species